rnacentral:rRNA from 1 species
AUGAACGCUGGCGGCGUGCCUAAUACAUGCAAGUCGAGCGAACGGACGAGAAGCUUGCUUCUCUGAUGUUAGCGGCGGACGGGUGAGUAACACGUGGAUAACCUACCUAUAAGACUGGGAUAACUUCGGGAAACCGGAGCUAAUACCGGAUAAUAUUUUUAACCGCAUGGUUCAAAAGUGAAAGACGGUCUUGCUGUCACUUAUAGAUGGAUCCGCGCUGCAUUAGCUAGUUGGUAAGGUAACGGCUUACCAAGGCAACGAUGCAUAGCCGACCUGAGAGGGUGAUCGGCCAAACUGGAACUGAGACACGGUCCAGACACCUACGGGAGGCAGCAGUAGGGAAUCUUCCGCAAUGGGCGAAAGCCUGACGGAGCAACGCCGCGUGAGUGAUGAAGGUCUUCGGAUCGUAAAACUCUGUUAUUAGGGAAGAACAUAUGUGUAAGUAACUGUGCACAUCUUGACGGUACCUAAUCAGAAAGCCACGGCUAACUACGUG